rnacentral:rRNA from 2 species
AGAGUCUGAUGGAGCACGCCGCGUGAGUGAAGAAGGGUUUCGGCUCGUAAAACUCUGUUGUUAAAGAAGAACAUAUCUGAGAGUAACUGUUCAGGUAUUGACGGUAUUUAACCAGAAAGCCACGGCUAACUACGUGCCAGCAGCCGCGGUAAUACGUAGGUGGCAAGCGUUGUCCGGAUUUAUUGGGCGUAAAGCGAGCGCAGGCGGUUUUUUAAGUCUGAUGUGAAAGCCUUCGGCUCAACCGAAGAAGUGCAUCGGAAACUGGGAAACUUGAGUGCAGAAGAGGACAGUGGAACUCCAUGUGUAGCGGUGAAAUGCGUAGAUAUAUGGAAGAACACCAGUGGCGAAGGCGGCUGUCUGGUCUGUAACUGACGCUGAGGCUCGAAAGUAUGGGUAGCAAACAGGAUUAGAUACCCUGGUAGUCCAUACCGUAAACGAUGAAUGCUAAGUGUUGGAGGGUUUCCGCCCUUCAGUGCUGCAGCUAACGCAUUAAGCAUUCCGCCUGGGGAGUACGGCCGCAAGGCUGAAACUCAAAGGAAUUGACGGGGGCCCGCACAAGCGGUGGAGCAUGUGGUUUAAUUCGAAGCUACGCGAAGAACCUUACCAGGUCUUGACAUACUAUGCAAAUCUAAGAGAUUAGACGUUCCCUUCGGGGACAUGGAUACAGGUGGUGCAUGGUUGUCGUCAGCUCGUGUCGUGAGAUGUUGGGUUAAGUCCCGCAACGAGCGCAACCCUUAUUAUCAGUUGCCAGCAUUAAGUUGGGCACUCUGGUGAGACUGCCGGUGACAAACCGGAGGAAGGUGGGGAUGACGUCAAAUCAUCAUGCCCCUUAUGACCUGGGCUACACACGUGCUACAAUGGAUGGUACAACGAGUUGCGAACUCGCGAG